rnacentral:rRNA from 1 species
CUAAUACCGGAUAUUAUGAGAUUCUCGCAUGGGAAACUUAUGAAAGCUAUAUGCGCCAAGAGAGAGCCUUGCGUUCCAUUAGCUAGUUGGUGGGGUAACGGCCCACCAAGGCGACGAUGGAUAGCCGGCCUGAGAGGGUGAACGGCCACAAGGGGACUGAGACACGGCCCUUACUCCUACGGGAGGCAGCAGUGGGGAAUAUUGGACAAUGGGCCACAAGCCUGAUCCAGCAAUUCUGUGUGCACGAUGAAGGUCUUCGGAUUGUAAAGUGCUUUCAGUUGGGAAGAAGAAAGUGACGGUACCAACAGAAGAAGCGACGGCUAAAUACGUGCCAGCAGCCGCGGUAAUACGUAUGUCGCAAGCGUUAUCCGGAUUUAUUGGGCGUAAAGCGCGUCUAGGCGGAAAAAUAAGUCUGAUGUUAAAAUGCGGGGCUCAACUCCGUAUUGCGUUGGAAACUGUUUUUCUAGAGUACUGGAGAGGUGGGCGGAACUACAAGUGUAGAGGUGAAAUUCGUAGAUAUUUGUAGGAAUGCCGAUGGAGAAGUCAGCUCACUGGACAGAUACUGACGCUAAAGCGCGAAAGCGUGGGGAGCAAACAGGAUUAGAUACCCUGGUAGUCCACGCCGUAAACGAUGAUCACU